rnacentral:rRNA from 1 species
UACGUAGGGCGCAAGCGUUAUCCGGAAUUAUUGGGCGUAAAGAGCUCGUAGGCGGUUUGUCGCGUCUGCUGUGAAAUCCCGAGGCUCAACCUCGGGCCUGCAGUGGGUACGGGCAGACUAGAGUGCGGUAGGGGAGAUUGGAAUUCCUGGUGUAGCGGUGGAAUGCGCAGAUAUCAGGAGGAACACCGAUGGCGAAGGCAGAUCUCUGGGCCGUUACUGACGCUGAGGAGCGAAAGGGUGGGGAGCAAACAGG